CACCCCUCAUCCUUCACCAGCAGCACCUCUGAACCCUCAUCCUUCACCAGCAGCACCUCUGGACCCUCAUCCUGGAAGAGAAAGGUGAUACAGAUUAAACAGACAUACUCCCUCAGUGUGUACAGGCGAACUACAUUUCUCCAGUGAGGAUCUUCAGCUGGUGCUGGCGGGAGAACUUCUUCUCACAUUCUUCUGUACAAUUUCUCCCUUGUGUGGUUCCUCUAGUGCCUCUUCAGGCUGCCAGCCUCUGUAAAGCACAUGUGACACUGGGUACAGCUGAAGGGUUUCACCCCUGUGUGGACACUCUGGUGAAUCUCCACCUUCUGGGAGCAGCGGAAGCCUUUGUUACAGAACAUGCAGAGGAACCGUUUCUCUUUACUGUUGCCUGAUGUGGCUCCCCCUCCCUGAACCUGAGCUCUAGCCCUGUCAUUUGAGUUCAAUACCUGAUUAAAAAUAAGAAACGAUGUGGACACUG